CGGAGGAUCCAAGCGUUAUCCGGAUUUAUUGGGUUUAAAGGGUGCGUAGGCGGAAUAGUAAGUCAGUGGUGAAAGCCUGCAGCUUAACUGUAGAAUUGCCAUUGAUACUGCUAAUCUUGAGUACAUAUGAAGUGGGCGGAAUGUGUCAUGUAGCGGUGAAAUGCUUAGAUAUGACACAGAACACCGAUUGCGAAGGCAGCUCACUAAACUGUAACUGACACUGAGGCACGAAAGCAUGGGGAGCAAACAGGAUUAGAUACCCUGGUAGUCCAUGCCGUAAACUAUGAUUACUCGAUGUGUGCGAUACACUGUACGCGUCUAAGCGAAAGCGUUAAGAAUCCACCUGGGAAGUACGACCGCAAGGUUG
rnacentral:rRNA from 1 species